AUGCUUACUUUGGCACUUACACUAAAAUUGAAACAAUACAGAGAAAACUAGCAUGGCCCCUGCACAAAGAUGACACACACAUCUGUGAAGCAUUCCAUAUUUUU
ensembl:snRNA U6 U6 spliceosomal RNA